CAAUAGCGUAUAUUUAAGUUGCUGCAGUUAAAAAGCUCGUAGUUGGAUUUCGGGUGGGAAUGGCCGGUCCGCCGUUUCGGUGUGCACUUGCUACGCCCACCUUGCUGCCGGGGACGUGCUCUUGAGUUCACGCUCGGGACACGGAGUCGGCGAGGUUACUUUGAGUAAAUUAGAGUGUUCAAAGCAGGCCUACGCUCUGAAUACAUUAGCAUGGAAUAACACGAUAGGACUCUGGCCUAUCUUGUUGGUCUGUAGGACCGGAGUAAUGAUUAAGAGGGACAGUCGGGGGAAUUCGUAUUUCAUUGUCAGAGGUGAAAUUCUUGGAUUUAUGAAAGACGAACUACUGCGAAAGCAUUUGCCAAGGAUGUUUUCAUUAA
rnacentral:rRNA from 1 species